CGCUGAAGCAGCUGUUGAUUUAUUUCCCUUAUGAGGAGAUUAUAUAAACUAAAAUUAUGGCUGCAGCAAGCUCCCUCUUGGACUUAGAACCUAUGAAAAUCUGCUGAAUGGCUGCAGUGUGCUCCCUUGUGGGUAGUGAAGAUUCAAAAUGGAUAAUAUAGAGGAACCACAGAAAAAAGUCUUCAAGGCUCGAAAAACAAUGCGAGCAAGUGAUCGCCAGCAGCUCGACGCUGUGCACAGAGUCAAAGAGGAGCUGCUGAGAACUGACGGGAAACUGCUAAAUGGGAACCAUGAAAAUGGAGACCUGGAUCCUACUUCACCUUUGGAAAACACAGAUUGUAUUCAAGAUAAAGAAGAAGUGAAUGGUGUUGAUGG
rnacentral:lncRNA from 1 species